rnacentral:rRNA from 1 species
GACGAACGCUGGCGGCGUGCUUAACACAUGCAAGUCGAACGGAAAGGCCCUGCUUUUGUGGGUUGCUCGAGUGGCGAACGGGUGAGUAACACGUGAGUAACCUGCCCUUGACUUUGUGAUAACUUCAGGAAACUGGGGCUAAUACCGGAUAUGAUCUCCUGCUGCAUGGUGGGGGUUGGAAAGUUUCGGCGGUUGGGGAUGGACUCGCGGCUUAUCAGCUUGUUUGUGGGGUAGUGGCUUACCAAGGCUUUGACGGCUAGCCGGCCUGAGAGGGUGACCGGCCACAUUGGGACUGAGAUACGGACCAGACUCCUACGGGAGGCAGCAGUGGGGAAUAUUGCACAAUGGGCGGAAGCCUGAUGCAGCAACGCCGCGUGCGGGAUGCCGGCCUUCGGGUUGUAAACCGAUUUCGACUGUGACGAAGCGUGAGUGACGGUAAUGGGUAAAGAAGCACCGGCUAACUACGUG